AACGAACGCUGGCGGCAUGCCUAACACAUGCAAGUCGAACGAGCCCUUCGGGUCUAGUGGCGCACGGGUGCGUAACGCGUGGGAACCUGCCCUUAGGUUCGGAAUAACUCCCCGAAAGGGGUGCUAAUACCGGAUAAUGUCUUCGGACCAAAGAUUUAUCGCCUUUGGAUGGGCCCGCGUUGGAUUAGCUAGUUGGUAGGGUAAAAGCCUACCAAGGCGACGAUCCAUAGCUGGUCUGAGAGGAUGAUCAGCCACACUGGGACUGAGACACGGCCCAGACUCCUACGGGAGGCAGCAGUGGGGAAUAUUGGACAAUGGGCGAAAGCCUGAUCCAGCAAUGCCGCGUGAGUGAUGAAGGCCUUAGGGUUGUAAAGCUCUUUUACCCGGGAUGAUAAUGACAGUACCGGGAGAAUAAGCGCCGGCUAACUCCGUG
rnacentral:rRNA from 1 species